rnacentral:rRNA from 1 species
UACGGAGGGAGCAAGCGUUACUCGGAAUUAUUGGGCGUAAAGGGCGCGUAGGCGAUUCGAUAAGUCUCAUGUGAAAUCCCAGGGCCUAACCCUGGAAUGGCAUGGGAUACUGUUGGAUUUGAGUUCCGGAGAGGAAGGCAGAAUUCCCGGUGUAGCGGUGAAAUGCGUAGAUAUCGGGAGGAAUACCAGUGGCGAAGGCGGCUCACUGGCCCGGUACUGACGCUGAGGUGCGAAAGCGUGGGGAGCAAACAGG